CCUCAUCAACUGGAAGGAAUCCCUUCCGGUUGAUGAGGUGUAACAGCCCCAUUGACCGGAAGGAAUCCCUUCCGGUCAAUGGUGUUGUUGUAUCUCAUCGGCCGGAAGGAUAUCCUUCCAAUCAAUGAGG
rnacentral:miRNA from 1 species